rnacentral:rRNA from 1 species
UACGGGGGGGCGAGCGUUGUUCGGAAUCAUUGGGCGUAAAGGGUGCGUAGGUGGUGCUGUAAGUCUGACGUGAAAUCUCUGGGCUUAACCCAGAAUCCGCGCCAGGAACUGACAGUGCUAGAGUCGUGGGAGAGGAGAAUGGAAUUCCUGGUGUAGCGGUGAAAUGCGCAGAUAUCGGAAGGAACAUCGAGUGGCGAAAGCGACUUCCUGGACCAGUACCGACGUUCAGGCACGAAAGCGUGGGGAGCAAACAGG